AUUGAACGCUGGCGGCAGGCCUAACACAUGCAAGUCGAACGGUAACAGGGAUCAGCUUGCUGAUUCGCUGACGAGUGGCGGACGGGUGAGUAAUGUCUGGGAAACUGCCUGAUGGAGGGGGAUAACUACUGGAAACGGUAGCUAAUACCGCAUAACGUCGCAAGACCAAAGAGGGGGACCUUCGGGCCUCUUGCCAUCGGAUGUGCCCAGAUGGGAUUAGCUAGUAGGUGGGGUAACGGCUCACCUAGGCGACGAUCCCUAGCCGGUCUGAGAGGAUGACCAGCCACACUGGAACUGAGACACGGUCCAGACUCCUACGGGAGGCAGCAGUGGGGAAUAUUGCACAAUGGGCGCAAGCCUGAUGCAGCCAUGCCGCGUGUAUGAAGAAGGCCUUCGGGUUGUAAAGUACUUUCAGCGGGGAGGAAGGGAGUAAAGUUAAUACCUUUGCUCAUUGACGUUACCCGCAGAAGAAGCACCGGCUAACUCCGUG
rnacentral:rRNA from 1 species